UUUCUCUGAAAGUGUUCCUCAAAGAAGCCAGUAUUUGAAUUGUUUGCUACUCAGCCACGAAGAGAUAAGAAGCCUGUGUCAGAAUGCAUGUGAACACGCUGCUUGCUUCCUAGAAGCCUUGCUUUGAAAAAGAAGGUCUGCCCAUCCACAUCAUUUUGGCUGAAUGCGUGACCUAUCCAAUCCUUCCUCUCAUGGAAACACCAACUCAUCCAUGCCCUCUGUGCUGAAACUUCGUCUCAGCCUGCUGGAAUCACCUGCACCCCAUGGGAACUGUAGCCAUAUCUUCAGUCCUGUGAGCCCCCGUCAUGGCCUGUCACAGGAGUAAAUGAGGAGUAAGGCCCAGAAUACUCAGUACCUCUCAAUGACCCUCAGACGCUGUAGGAAGAGGAUUGGUUCACCUUUUAACCCAGAAUUUCUCACAUUGAAUGGACAGGAUGCAUUCCAAGAGGCCAGAGUAUGUGCAUCUCAGCUCCUGAUGGUUUCCACCACCACCAUUACUUUCUCUAUGUCAAGAUACCUGGGAAGCCGGUGUUUCAUUUGCAUUCUUGGAGCCCAGGAACUGUCUUCUACAAACUUUUCUUCCUAGUACCAUGUAAACGUACACAGGAAACGUUCAGAAAACAUCAGCCAAAUAGAAGAAUAAGGAAAUUCCUUCACUGACUAGAUAUUGGUGUUUGAUUCUGUCCUGCUUUGUACUCAAUGGCUAUUUCGGGGUUUCCAUUGCGGAAAACUAUUUGGAAAAUUGCAAGCCACGAGACAAGCCUCUAAGCUACUCCAGGAUCAUUGAGGACUCUCCAUGGGUUCUUAUUGUUAAAGAUCUUAACUCCUCAAGCCACUGCAUUUUUACUAUAUGCCUUGAACUACAAGAUGUGUUAAGAUUUAUAGGAUAAGGUUCUCAUCUCUAAAAACUCAUGGUCUCGAUGGAGAAGCAGUAUUUACACACAUGGAGAAGUUGAGAGUACUUGAAUGUGGAGUAUAAAGUGUGCGAUAUUGACAAGAAGCUCUACGAAAGUUCAGGAAGAGGAGGAGCAAGUGAGGAUGGAGAUGGACUUUGCAGAAUGGAGGAGAGGCAAAGAAACGGUUAGAAACAAUCUACAUAAUGAAAAGUCACUUUUGGGAGUUGUUUUAAGGCAGAGUAUCAUAUCGCAUCAAAACCGCUCCAUAAGUCCUGCCACUCCACGUGCAAUGCCAUGAACUUGAAGAAACUGCUGGUAAGAGAAAGCAAAUGCUGUGACCAGGCAACUGCUGCAAACCAAUGGGCUUUGGGGAACUGUGCUUCCCUUCAGAAAGGAAAGAGUAUUUAACGAUGAAAAGGAAGGUGGAUUUUCCCUACUCAUGCUUCCUAGAGAUUUGGUGAGGAUUUGUUGAGUCAUGGGACAUUUCAGCUUGCCAAGCUUCUUUAGCUUUAGCACGUGUUUCCACCAGUGUCCCUUAACGGAGAGGAUGACUAUGUCACUGAAGAAGUGGAGGGGCUGAAAAUGGACUCAGCUCUUGGCCCCUGUAGAGACUGCAAGACUCCGUGCACAACGUGACAGUCGGGGCUUCCUCUGAGCACUGCGCCGUUCAGCCCUAUUGCGCAACCUGCCACGCCCUGUUACUGUAAAUGGAACACCGGCUGUGAGCUGGUCAAGGCCCUGCCAUGACAAGGCCACUUGCAUAGGACUCCAAAUUAAAAAAAAAAAAAAGGCCUUUCUUAUUGACUGAAAAACUGGUUGUGUUUUUCAUAUUUUUCACUUUCUGGAGCUGAAUUAUUAAUAGGCAAAAAUUAGGUGGGGCUUCAUUGAUAUUCUCACCAGCUUUUACAAACCAAGAAUCGGAAAGUGUGCCUCGGUGAGUUGCCUUUUGUUAGCAGUGUGGAGAUGCAGGCAAAAGUGAUCAGCGUGGUUUGUAUUUGCAGCCGCCCCUCCCCUCUCUUCAGAGUCUCUCCUUCCCGGCUGCAAGGUGCGUCUUUAAUGUGCGACACUGACAAGGCGUUUCAGCCAUGCAGCUAAUUAAUAUCAUGCCGAGGCUCAAUGUGACAGGUCCUUCAGACUCAUAAAUCAGAAACCACUAACAAAUGUCGUUCCUUUUCUGAUCUCUUUCUCUUGCUUUUUAAUAUGUUGAUUUACUUUCAGUAUGCAUAACCAAAAAAGAAACAAACCAAUAAAAAUACUGAUG
rnacentral:lncRNA from 1 species